CCUACGGGUGGCAGCAGUGGGGAAUAUUGGACAAUGGGCGAAAGCCUGAUCCAGCCAUGCCGCGUGUGUGAAGAAGGCCUUCGGGUUGUAAAGCACUUUCAGUGGGGAAGAAAGCCUUGGGGCUAAUACCCUCGAGGAAGGACAUCACCCACAGAAGAAGCACUGGCUAACUCCGUGCCAGCAGCCGCGGUAAUACGGAGGGUGCGAGCGUUAAUCGGAAUUACUGGGCGUAAAGCGCGCGUAGGCGGUCUGAUAAGCCGGUUGUGAAAGCCCCGGGCUCAACCUGGGAACGGCAUCCGGAACUGUCAGGCUAGAGUGCAGGAGAGGAAGGUAGAAUUCCCGGUGUAGCGGUGAAAUGCGUAGAGAUCGGGAGGAAUACCAGUGGCGAAGGCGGCCUUCUGGACUGACACUGACGCUGAGGUGCGAAAGCGUGGGUAGCAAACAGGAUUAGAUACCCGAGUAGUC
rnacentral:rRNA from 1 species